rnacentral:tRNA from 1 species
GGGUCAUUAGCUCAACGGCAGAGCAGUUGCCUCUUAAGCAAUUGGUUGGUGGUUCGAAUCCACCAUGACCCACCA